UUUUUUUUUUUUUAAAACUUUUCUUUUGGGUUGUUUUGCUUUGGUGCUUUUUAGUAAUGUUUGAGAGACUAUUUCACUGUGUAGCUCUGUCUGACCUGGAACUUAGGUAAAUUAUACUGGCUUUGAACUCAUGGGGAGCCUUCUGCCUCACCCCCAACACACACACACACACACACACACACACACUAGAUAGAUAGAUAGAUAGAUAGAUAGAUAAUAUUUUUCAAAAGAAUUAGUGUAAAGGUGGCUAAAUAUGGAAUUUGAUGAUAAAGUACUUCUCUAGCAUUUGCUAGCCUGGCUGUCUCCAGCACUGAAAGAAAAAAGGUUUCUAUAAAGACAUAUAUUAUAUGAUAUAUAAUUUAUAUCAAUUCAAUAUGCCAAUUUAUUUUGCCUGAAUUGCUGUGGUAGUAAUUGAGAGUAUUUUAACAUAUAAAUGAAAGUUCAUGAACAAAGGUACCCACUUCCUCAUUAUUUUCUUUUGAAAAGAGAUUACAAGUGUAAGAUAAACUGACUUUAAUUGCAAAGAAAAAAUGUCAGGAGUGACAUUUCAACACUUCUGCAUACUAAUGAGCUCAGCUAAAAGAAAUAUAAAAUCAACCAGGCGGCUGUCAUUAGUUUCUUCGGGAUCUCGCUUCCAGAGGAAUAAACAAUUAAUGUGUUAAAAUGAUUCACUGCUAACAUAUCAUUAGGGACCAUAAAUAUCAUCCUGACCAUGUUGAUUGGACCCUGACAGGGAUGGGCACAAAUGCCAUUUAGUUUGCAGUAUGACACGCUAAUGAAAAUGUUCCAGAAUGUUCUGAGAUUGGGAGUAAGGGUGUCCCUGUGAGAAGAGAGCACAGUUGGCAGUGGAGAGUUGAGUCAAUAAGUCAGCCAUCAGACCUUCGGACCAGUCACCGUGUUGCAUGCUUCUGACACAUCUCACCAUAACCCUCGACUUGGCAGCCUCAAAGCAGGGCUGUCUCAGAGACUGUUGCUUAGGCUAUGUGAGGCUGAGUACCUCCCAGAGUUUACAGGAGAACGUCCUUCUCGCCUGUUGUAGUUAAUUGGGUCACAGUAGUACUUGGUCUUGAACCCUUGCACUGUGUGUGUUACCAUCCACAGUCAAUCAUCCCAAUAGAGUGAGUUAAUUCUGCACUUUCUAAAGCAUUUUAGUGAAGUAAAACUCAGGGUUUUUUUUUCCAUAUGAAAGUCAAAGAAAAUAUAUGCAGGAUAUCUUUUAAGAGGAUAUCUUUUAAGCUGUUAUUGACUUUCACUUCAUACUCACACACAAGUAUUGGGUUAGAAAUUUUUAUGCAAGUUAAAACAAUUUGUCAGCAAUUGAGAUAAGCAGGAGGGUACAUGCUUUGAGCAUGCUUGCUGACACAGACAGGGACAAUUCUAGCAAACCUAUCUCAAGUCUAACCUUCUCCUUUAUUAAACAACAAUGAAGGAAAAAAAAAACCUUAUUAACUCCUCGUCUUCAUUGAAAACUGUCCUCAGCAUCACAAAUUUUAAAUAAUUCAUCCAUUCAUUCAUUUCAGUGCAUGCUGGGAACUUUGUGCCUCACAGAAUGCCGACGAUAAUCUCAAAUAAAAAGCCUCACCCACUGCCACUCCCAGGGAACUUAUAAGCUGUUACAAACCAAAGAACAAAAAAUUAUGAGGGUGCAAUUACAAUUCAGACCAAUGCCUUAAAGGGAACAAUAUGUUCCUGUGAGCAAAGGACCUAAACCAUGGAGGGACAGAAUCUGACUAGAGCAUUGCUGUUUGCUGCUGUUGCUGCUGUAGCUGCUGCUGUCCCAGGGGUCAAGGCUGAGACCAGGACAAAGGGAACCGUCUGGCUGGACUACUGAGAGGGGACUUCACUUCAUACAAUACAAUGUCUGCCUUCCACUCAGUCAAGAAGAGGUUGGCUUUGUAGACAAGAGAGCUGAGAAAACGCAGAGACAAACCCCCAGAUUCAGGGGCUGGACAGACGAUGGUUCAGCAUCCCAGAGCACAAGCUGCUCUCUCAGAGGAUCCAGUGCAGUUGUCAGCAUCCAAUGGCAGCUUACAACAAUCAGAAUUCCCAGGGCAUCCAGUGUCCUCUUCUGGUCUCAGCAACCACCAGGCUCAACCAUGAUACAACAUAUACAAGUGAAGGCAAGAGACUUGUACACACAAAUUAAAAAACAAACCUACGGAACACGAUGGGUCAUUUUAUAGUGUAUCUCCUUGCACAAGGUGGGGGCAGGGUGACAGAGCAUAAAGACAGUCCUCCCUGGUUAAUAUCAAGGCAUGGAGAGUUACCUACUUGUGCAAGGUUGAAGAAGAGAGAAGUAGCUUGGUUGAGAAGUCUGAGGAUCACCUAUCCAAUCAGAACUUUAGCAUCAAUCACCCUGUUUUGAUUUUUAUAGGAAUCUGUUGGAGUCUGGAGCAAGAUAUUAAUAUAAAACAAUGGCCUCCUGUAAUUUUUCCCUAAGAAUUGAAACUUAAUAUCA